rnacentral:lncRNA from 1 species
AUGAUCUCAGAUUUUGUAUUUUGGUUAAAUCCUCUGCUGCGUGUGAGAGAGGACGAGAGAACACAUCAUCUCUUCAUCACCUCUUCAUCAUCUCUUCAUCAUCUGUUCAUCACCUCUUCAUCACCUCUUCAUCAUCUCUUCAUCAUCUCUUCAUCAUCUGUUCAUCACCUCUUCAUCACCUCUUCAUCACCUCUUCAUCACCUCUUCAUCAUCUGUUCAUCAUCUCUUCAUCAUCUCUUCAUCACCUCUUCAUCAUCUCUUCAUCAUCUCUUUAUCAUCUGUUCAUCAUCUCUUCAUCACCUCUUCAUCAUCUGUUCAUCAUCUCUUCAUCAUCUCUUCAUCACCUCUUCAUCACCUCUUCAUCAUCUCUUCAUCACCUCUUCAUCACCUCUUCAUCACCUCUUCAUCACCUCUUCAUCAUCUCUUCAUCAUCUCUUCAUCAUCUCUUCAUCACCUCUUCAUCACCUCUUCAUCAUCUCUUCAUCAUCUCUUCAUCACCUCUUCAUCACCUCUUCAUCACCUCUUCAUCAUCUCUUCAUCACCUCUUCAUCACCUCUUCAUCACCUCUUCAUCAUCUCUUCAUCAUCUCUUCAUCACCUCUUCAUCACCUCUUCAUCACCUCUUCAUCAUCUCUUCAUCAUCUGUUCAUCAUCUCUUCAUCACCUCUUCAUCACCUCUUCAUCACCUCUUCAUCAUCUCUUCAUCAUCUCUUCAUCACCUCUUCAUCAUCUCUUCAUCAUCUGUUCAUCAUCUGUUCAUCAUCUCUUCAUCACCUCUUCAUCACCUCUUCAUCAUCUGUUCAUCACCUCUUCAUCAUCUCUUCAUCACCUCUUCAUCAUCUCUUCAUCAUCUCUUCAUCACCUCUUCAUCACCUCUUCAUCACCUCUUCAUCAUCUCUUCAUCAUCUGUUCAUCAUCUCUUCAUCACCUCUUCAUCAUCUGUUCAUCACCUCUUCAUCAUCUCUUCAUCACCUCUUCAUCAUCUGUUCAUCAUCUGUUCAUCAUCUCUUCAUCACCUCUUCAUCAUCUCUUCAUCAUCUGUUCAUCACCUCUUCAUCACCUCUUCAUCACCUCUUCAUCAUCUCUUCAUCACCUCUUCAUCAUCUGUUCAUCACCUCUUCAUCAUCUCUUCAUCACCUCUUCAUCAUCUCUUCAUCAUCUGUUCAUCAUCUCUUCAUCACCUCUUCAUCACCUCUUCAUCAUCUGUUCAUCACCUCUUCAUCACCUCUUCAUCAUCUGUUCAUCACCUCUUCAUCAUCUCUUCAUCACCUCUUCAUCAUCUGUUCAUCACCUCUUCAUCAUCUCUUCAUCAUCUCUUCAUCACCUCUUCAUCACCUCUUCAUCAUCCCUUCAUCAUCUGUUCAUCAUCUCUUCAUCACCUCUUCAUCACCUCUUCAUCAUCUCUUCAUCAUCUGUUCAUCAUCUGUUCAUCAUCUCUUCAUCACCUCUUCAUCAUCUCUUCAUCAUCUCUUCCUCCUCCUCCUCCUCCUCCUCUUCUUCUUGUGUCGGUGUUUGA